UGGAGGCAGCAGUAAGGAAUAUUGCACAAUGGGCGAAAGCCUGAUGCAGCAACGCCGCGUGAGUGAUGAAGGCCUUUGGGUCGUAAAGCUCUGUCCUAAGGGAAGAAAAAAAUGACGGUACCUUAGGAGGAAGCCCCGGCUAACUACGUGCCAGCAGCCGCGGUAAUACGUAGGGGGCAAGCGUUAUCCGGAAUUAUUGGGCGUAAAGAGUGCGUAGGUGGUUAUUUAAGCGCGAGGUGAAAGGCUACAGCUUAACUGUAGUAAGCCUUGCGAACUGGAUGACUUGAGUGCAGGAGAGGAAAGCGGAAUUCCUAGUGUAGCGGUGAAAUGCGUAGAUAUUAGGAGGAACACCAGUGGCGAAGGCGGCUUUCUGGACUGUAACUGACACUGAGGCACGAAAGCGUGGGGAGCAAACAGGAUUAGAUACCCUGGUAGU
rnacentral:rRNA from 1 species